rnacentral:misc_RNA from 1 species
CUGCACCAGACGCGCAUUUGUGAGUCCAUCGACCAUAAACCAUAAAUCUAUUACCAUAAACGUGUCUCCACAGUUCAUAGUUCCAGUUCGCGCCGCGAAACAUCCGCAGUAACAAAAUCAUCUCGACGAAGAUGUAACGCGUUAAAAUUCUCAUUUCGAGCGAUUAAUUUGUCGAGCGGUUGAAGGCAAAGAGCAACCGGGAGCUUUCCCCGGAAGAUACGUUCGCGAUAAGCCGUGGAAAGAAGGCAGACGGACAAAGAGCAAUCAAUACAUCUACAAAUCAUUCGAUCGCAAAGACAUUGGUCGUUUUCGAAGCAUGGUUGAGUAUGCAGUCCU